rnacentral:rRNA from 1 species
CGUAGGUGAACCUGCGGAAGGAUCAUUACCGAGUGUAGGGUUCCUAGCGAGCCCAACCUCCCACCCGUGUUUACUGUACCUUAGUUGCUUCGGCGGGCCCGCCAUUCAUGGCCGCCGGGGGCUCUCAGCCCCGGGCCCGCGCCCGCCGGAGACACCACGAACUCUGUCUGAUCUAGUGAAGUCUGAGUUGAUUGUAUCGCAAUCAGUUAAAACUUUCAACAAUGGAUCUCUUGGUUCCGGCAUCGAUGAAGAACGCAGCGAAAUGCGAUAACUAGUGUGAAUUGCAGAAUUCCGUGAAUCAUCGAGUCUUUGAACGCACAUUGCGCCCCCUGGUAUUCCGGGGGGCAUGCCUGUCCGAGCGUCAUUGCUGCCCAUCAAGCACGGCUUGUGUGUUGGGUCGUCGUCCCCUCUCCGGGGGGGACGGGCCCCAAAGGCAGCGGCGGCACCGCGUCCGAUCCUCGAGCGUAUGGGGCUUUGUCACCCGCUCUGUAGGCCCGGCCGGCGCUUGCCGAACGCAAAUCAAUCUUUUCCAGGUUGACCUCGGAUCAGGUAGGGAUACCCGCUGAACUUAAGCAUAUCAAUA